CAAGGGGUUAAAUAUCAAACAUUUUUCCGCUGGGAGGUAAACCCCCGGACUUCCCGGUAGGGGGUCCCCAGCCCCAAUAUCAUACUUACGGCCCUGGUACCUACUACCUAACCAAUAUUAAUUUCUUUUUGAAUUUAAUCACGAAAAAAAUUAAAUAAUAUAUGUAUCUUGAUAAUAUUGGUUUGAGAUUAAAAUAUUUAAGUAUAACCCAUAGAUAGUAGGGGAGGAAAGUAUGCUAAAUUUGCAGUUACUCGAGCGUUAUGUGGGGACAUAUUGGGUUGUGAAGAGUAGGUACCUACCUAGGGUUUUCCUACCUCUAGGUCCUAAAACCAUAAAGUGGGGCACUUUCCAUUUUUUAAUUUAAUCUUCCAUUUUCAACAAUCGUUUUUUCCGAUUAUAGCGCCAUCUAUGUAUAUCCAUAAUUAGAAAAAAAUGCUUCGAAUAUAAGUUGCUACGCACAGAAUCCAAAUCUGCAAUAAAAAUUGGGGGCUCCUAUUUAAGAUUUUAAAGUAACCCCCCACCACAUCUCCGUGCGGGGUUUUGUGUUUGGUGUCAUUCGAUAGAUUUGUCAAAAAUGUUGAAUACCUAAGUACCUACGUGUAUCUUGCAGUUUUUCGAUCUGAUAUCUGAUGUUCAUUUCGCGAAAUAUCGCAGGGUUCGUAUUUAAAAUUUUAAAACCUUCCACCCCUCUCCAUGGGGGGUCGUGUUUGGUAUCAUUCGAUAGAUUUUUAUAAAAUAUUGAACACGUAUUUUUUAUUUUUCGAUCUGACGUUCAUUUCGCGAAAUACUUAUUCGCUUUGUUUGUGAAACUUUGUGACUCACCCAUUUGCUUACGCCCCGGUCACCGGUCAAAUUGUUAGAUUUUUGAAAUAAGUAGGUGUAGGUAGGAAUACCUACCUAUACCUAUUCUUUAGAUGGGAAAUAAGCCACAAUUAAAUUUAAAAAAUAAUUUGAUUAACGUUUCGACGCCCAGAUCGGGUGUAGUUGUCAAAAUACAAAAUACUACCUACAUAAAUCUUUAUUUAUACGUCCAUGCCUCAACUCUUAACUCUCUAUAUCAAACUUUUUUGAAAUACCUACUAAUCAGGAGCGUCAUUUGAAAUUUUGCUAGGGGGGCAAACAUUAUAUAUACAAUACAUUAUAUACGCAAACAUAAUACAAAAUUGAUCUAUUUUUCGUAAAUUUCAGUCAUUUUCAGGGCAAAUGCCCCCCCUGACCCUAUCAAAUGACGCCCCUGCUACUAAUGCAUGUAAAGUAAAUCAAUAUUAUUUGGGAUUUUUUUAUUUAUGUUUUCUUUAAAUCCAUAAACUUUAAUAUCAGCCAAGACAAGAAGUUUCUCAUUUGUCCCUUACCUAUAGGUAGGUAAAUAGUACCUACUCUGUUACACUCUUUUGUUUUGUGCCUACUCUCUGGACACUCAAAUGUAUUUUUAAUAAGUUUGAGUAAUUUUUCAACUGCUUUUACGGAAGGAUUUACUCGAUCAAAUAAAAUCAGAAAAAUAAUUGUGAUUGGGGAUCAAUACCAAUACCUAGGGGAAAUUUGGACAAAACCGGGUACCCCUUGGUUCUUCUAACUGUCUGCUGCUAUCUAUCAGACAAUGUUAAAAUUAGAAACUGUCAACAGUCGCGUGUAUCCAUUUCUACUUCAUUUGAGUACUCUGUGCCGGAGCAGUAAGACCCCACCUGUUUUUUGAUGCAGCAAACUCGAUUUUUAGGUGUGGCUGACAUCCUUUGAAUUUAAACAUACAAUCAACCAAGAGAGGCCCCCUAUUAAAAAGUGAGUGGUAUUGUCAAAUAAUGCUUGAAACACGUGAAGUUUACUGUAGCUUACUACAUAGUCACCAAUUAUAGCUGUGAGGAAUAUUAAGAACGUUAGAUAAGUUGUUAAUUUGUUAAUAUAAAAAAAUAACAUUACAGCUAUUUUUCAAAUAAAUUGAGGUUAUAUUUA